rnacentral:lncRNA from 1 species
UUUCUGGGUUUCAACCAACAUUCCGGAGUCUGCCUUGACUCCAUACUUUGACUCUCCAUUGGUAAUUGUAUAUAUUUAAUCUUUACCUUCCUUUCACGUUUUCUUAUUCUUUGGUUGUGAAAUAACUGUUCUAUGCUUGUUGACCACGUUUUUAAUAAGUGGAUUGGCGGUUAUGCAUGGUUCAAAGUAGUGGGCAGGUUGUUGCUAUUUUUCAGGAACCAUGAUCUCGUAACCAACAUUCCAAGGCUGGUCGACUAGCAGUUUUUGAAGACGGAUUGCAGCAGUUAUAGGAAGGUUCUGAAAGUGGGAAGUGGAUGAAACCAACCACGACAUGAAGACCUAUAAAUGCAGCAAGAAGCUUCAAUCAUUCUUACAUUUUGGAAGUGCAAAAUCAGCGACUUAACAUUCACUCACAGCCAACUCGUCAUUUUCCUGCUGCAAACGUGUCACCGGUUCUUCAAGGAUUGCUUUGACGAAGUAGACUUAGGCAGCCAAUCUGUAAAGUCUAUCUUUGUAUCGACGGGACGUCGAGAGCAAGAUUUGAAGUGCAAGGUCAUUGGAACGUAGCAGGUUGUUUGCUUUGUCCGAUU